CCUACGGGUGGCAGCAGUGAGGAAUUUUGGUCAAUGGACGGAAGUCUGAACCAGCCAUGCCGCGUGCAGGAAGACGGCUCUAUGAGUUGUAAACUGCUUUUGUACAAGGGUAAACCUGAAUACGUGUAUUCAGCUGAAAGUACUGUACGAAUACGGAUCGGCUAACUCCGUGCCAGCAGCCGUGGUAAUACGUAGGCUCCAAGCGUUGUCCGGAUUUAUUGGGUGUAAAGGGUGCGUAGGCGGAUUGAUAAGUUAGGGGUGAAAGGUCCGGGCGUAACUCGGGAACUGACUCUAAUACUGUGGAGCUAGAGAGUAGAUGCGGUAGGCGGAAUGUAUGGUGUAGCGGUGAAAUGCUUAGAGAUCGUACAGAACACCGAUGGCGAAGGCAGCUUACCAAUCUAUAUCUGACGUUGAGGCACGAAGGCGUGGGGAGCAAACAGGAUUAGAUACCCUUGUAGUC
rnacentral:rRNA from 1 species